ACGAACGCUGGCGGCGUGCUUCACACAUGCAAGUCGAACGAUGAAGCCUUAGCUUGCUUUGGUGGAUUAGUGGCGAACGGGUGAGUAACACGUGAGCAACGUGCCCAGGACUCUGGAAUAACCGCGGGAAACCGUGGCUAAUACCGGAUAGGUGCCGAGGCCGCAUGGUCUUCGGUUGGAAAGUUUUUGCGGUUCUGGAUCGGCUCACGGCCUAUCAGCUUGUUGGUGGGGUAAUGGCCUACCAAGGCGACGACGGGUAGCCGGCCUGAGAGGGUGACCGGCCACACUGGGACUGAGACACGGCCCAGACUCCUACGGGAGGCAGCAGUGGGGAAUAUUGCACAAUGGGCGCAAGCCUGAUGCAGCAACGCCGCGUGGGGGAUGACGGCCUUCGGGUUGUAAACCUCUUUUAGUAGGGAAGAAGCGCAAGUGACGGUACCUGCAGAAAAAGCACCGGCUAACUACGUG
rnacentral:rRNA from 1 species